GACGAACCGUGCGAACGUUAUUCGGAAUCACUGGGCUUAAAGCGCGUGUAGGCGGGCCGCCGCGUCGGCUGCUGAAAUCCCCCGGCUCAACCGGGGAACGGGCACCGAUACGGGCGGCCUCGAGGGGGGUAGGGGGGACUGGAACUUCCGGUGGAGCGGUGAAAUGCGUUGAGAUCGGAAGGAACGCCCGUGGCGAAAGCGAGUCCCUGGACCCUUUCGACGCUGAGGCGCGAAAGCCAGGGGAGC
rnacentral:rRNA from 1 species